AAAAAGCCUUGGUUCUGGGCGGGAUCUGUAGUCACAUUUCUAGAAGGUCUUAAUUUUCAUCCAGACCGCCUUCAGCCCACUUCUACUGACCACAAGCUUUUGGAUCCUGCCCUGGGUCUCUGAGCACAGCAGAAUACAGGAGAAUCCCUUUCUUCUGGAGACAUGAUGCCUUAUCUUCCCUCCCAAAGGACCAUCUCUGCUUCAAUUCCACUGCCAGCCACAUCCUUGCUACUGCCCUCUUACUACUUCCUAUUCCAGCCAAACUGUAUUAGUUUUUAAUU
rnacentral:lncRNA from 1 species